UGCGAUUUUUGCGAAUUACCUCCAUAUGAAAACGUUACAUCUGUCCACACAGAAAACUGCAUCUCCUCAAACCUGUCGAUAGUACCCGAACUACAUUUAGUCACUCAGUAAAGUGAUAAAUCAAAAUAUCAUUGUCAACAGAACUGCAGAAAUUGCCACUGCUCAUUAGACCGUUUUCGUCGGAGGAGAGACACAGUUCUGGCUCUGAUUACUGGUUGCUGUACGUAUCUAUCCACAUCAAGGCUGUUAAGAGACUCGUGAAGAUUCAAGACAGCUCUUAAAGGAUUUUUGCAGCUUAAAAGUGACAUAAUUGUGAAAUAAGUGUGUAGAUGAGUGAUUAAACUGUGUUUUAUUGAAGAUGUUGUGCGAU